AAAAAGUUAGUUAUAAUAAUAACAUUAAAUUGUCAAUUUAAAAUUACUAUAUAAAUAGUACUUUUUG
rnacentral:tRNA from 1 species